UACGUAGGGUGCAAGCGUUGUCCGGAAUUAUUGGGCGUAAAGAGCUCGUAGGCGGUUUGUUGCGUCGGCUGUGAAAUCCCGAGGCUCAACCUCGGGUCUGCAGUCGAUACGAGCAAACUAGAGUGCUGCAGGGGAGACUGGAAUUCCUGGUGUAGCGGUGAAAUGCGCAGAUAUCAGGAGGAACACCGGUGGCGAAGGCGGGUCUCUGGACCAGCACUGACACUGAGGCACGGAAAGCGUGGGGAGCAAACAGG
rnacentral:rRNA from 1 species